GCAUUGUUACACACCGUUCUAAUAUGUUACGAAUCGCACAAUCAAGACAAUAACGAAGCACGUGGGAUCAAAUGAAGGGAAUAAUUCAAGGAAUUUUUAUCGGGAAAUCAACUGAAAAGGAUUUCUUGAAAGAAAUUCAUGGGUUUGAAGGGAGAAGUUUGUCGAGAUAUAUCUCAAGCGGUGAAACGAAAGGAAGGAGGCAAAGGAAAAGAGCGCUGGGACGCGCGACAAGAUCGUUACUCGCGGGGGAGAACUGUCACGCACAAAAUGGCCAUUCGCCGUUAACAGCUUGGCAGACGAGCCUGGAGGCGGCGCUUUGCAUUCUUGCUCGCUCUCCGCCGAUGAAUACUCUGACUAAAUGAAUACGGUAGCCUCGCUGAAUACUUGAAAAUCCUUUUUCCCUGUAUUUUCGCGUCCAUAUUUUUUGUUUUUUCAAACCACAACACAACAGUUGAAAGCGACGAAUCUGCCCCACUUCGCUUCUACUUCUCAGCUUUUCCUAAAGAUGGCGUGACACGACCCGGUUUUUUAACGGUUGUUUGUCAACAGAAAUAUUUUACGAAAAUCCUUCUGUACCAUAUUCAAAGUGUCCGAAAUACAGUUUGCUUUUUAAUAUA